GUUCUUGCUUGGGUGGCACAUAUACUAAAAUUGGAACGUUAUAGAGAUUAGCAUUGCCCCUGUGUGAGGAUGACACGAACUCAUGAAGAACAAGCACUGGAG